rnacentral:rRNA from 1 species
AGACACGGCCCAGACUCCUACGGGAGGCAGCAGUAGGGAAUCUUCCGCAAUGGACGAAAGUCUGACGGAGCAACGCCGCGUGAACGAUGAAGGCCUUCGGGUCGUAAAGUUCUGUUGUUAGGGAAGAAUAAGUACCAGAGUAACUGCUGGUACCUUGACGGUACCUAACCAGAAAGCCACGGCUAACUACGUGCCAGCAGCCGCGGUAAUACGUAGGUGGCAAGCGUUGUCCGGAAUUAUUGGGCGUAAAGCGCGCGCAGGGCGGUUUCUUAAGUCUGAUGUGAAAGCCCACGGCUCAACCGUGGAGGGUCAUUGGAAACUGGGGAACUUGAGUGCAGAAGAGGAGAGUGGAAUUCCACGUGUAGCGGUGAAAUGCGUAGAGAUGUGGAGGAACACCAGUGGCGAAGGCGACUCUCUGGUCUGUAACUGACGCUGAGGCGCGAAAGCGUGGGGAGCGAACAGGAUUAGAUACCCUGGUAGUCCACGCCGUAAAC